CUGAGUGCCUCUGAAAGGCACUGCAGGCUAAGCCAGCACACUCCUGCUUCCCAAUGAAGAAAAAAAACCUGCUGCCUUAAACGUCAUAGAAUGUCAGUUAAUGUGUUUGUUUCUGUUGUUAGGGAAAGAGAGGUACUGUUUUAAAGUACCAGUACAGUGACAAAAUAGUGGAUACACUCUGCUUAACAUGAAGUACUUUCCUUUACAACCUAAGUAUCAUACAGGAGAGAAGAGGACACACCUGGAGCAGCCAAUCUGACCUUGGAAAUGGAGACCCUCUACCACUGCAGGCACAGUAGAGACCAUUCUGCACAGUUAAGGGUAGCAGGUGCUCCUUGGGUGUUUAUGAGCACAAUCUUAAAGGAUGUUAAGAUGCAGCCUGAUAGAAUAGCAGUGAAGACACGACAACAUCUUUAUUAAUUAAAGCAUUAACUUCUGCACUCCAUUUUUCCUUCAGUGGACACAGAAAGAACAAAAAAAAUGUAGUCUGAAAGAAAGCAAAAGGAUGAUUACAUUCUCACAGUAAGGAGAUAAAGGAGGGGAGCAAAUUGGAUAUGAACCGUAUUCAUCAGAGGAUAUGAAAGGGAGUAGCUGAAUUCAAGAACACUGCAAUGCAAAAAGAACAUUUCCUCAAGAAGGAAAACUAUCUGUCCAGCAGAAUUCCUAAAAUAUUACUGCAAUCCCACAGCUUUGUCCAAAAACUCAGUAAAUAAAACUUCUGUCUGAAACUUUUCCCA
rnacentral:lncRNA from 1 species